ACGAACGCUGGCGGCAGGCCUAACACAUGCAAGUCGAGCGCUACCUUCGGGGUGAGCGGCGGACGGGUGAGUAACGCGUGGGAAUAUGCCCUUCUCUAAGGAAUAGCCUCUGGAAACGGAGAGUAAUACCAUAUACGCCCUUCGGGGGAAAGAUUUAUCGGUGAAGGAUUAGCCCGCGUAAGAUUAGAUAGUUGGUGGGGUAAUGGCCUACCAAGUCUACGAUCUAUAGCUGGUUUGAGAGGAUGAUCAGCCACAUUGGGACUGAGACACGGCCCAAACUCCUACGGGAGGCAGCAGUGGGGAAUCUUGC
rnacentral:rRNA from 1 species